AAGGUAGCGAAAUUCCUUGUCGGGUAAGUUCCGACCUGCACGAAUGGCGUAACGAUCUCCACACUGUCUCGGCCAGAGACUCGGUGAAAUUGCAGUCGCGGUGAAAAUUCCGUGUACCCGCAGAAAGACGGAAAGACCCUGUGCACCUUUACUAUAGCUUGACAUUGGAUUUUGGACCUACAUGUGUAGGAUAGGUGGGAGGCAGUGAACCAUGCACGCCAGUGUGUGGGGAGCCAACGUUGAAAUACCACCCUUGUAUGUUUAAGAUCCUAACGUCCACCAGUAAUCCUGGGGACAGACAGUGUCUGGCGGGUAGUUUGACUGGGGCGGUCGCCUCCUAAAGUGUAACGGAGGCAUGCAAAGGUUCCCUCAGCCUGAUCGGAAACCAGGCGCUGAGUGCAAACGCAUAAGGGAGCUUGACUGUAAGAGAGACAUCUCGAACAGGAACGAAAGUUGGCGUUAGUGAUCCGGUGGUCCCGAAUGGAAGGGCCAUCGCUCAUUGGAUAAAAGGUACGCCGGGGAUAACAGGCUGAUCGCAUCCAAGAGUUCACAUCGACGAUGCGGUUUGGCACCUCGAUGUCGGCUCAUCACAUCCUGGGGCUGAAGCAGGUCCCAAGGGUACGGCUGUUCGCCGUUUAAAGUGGUACGCGAGCUGGGUUUAAAACGUCGUGAGACAGUUUGGUCCCUAUCUUCUGUGGGCGAAGGAGAAUUGAGAGGGCCUGUCCCUAGUACGAGAGGACCGGGAUGGACGCACCCCUGGUGAUCCUGUUGUCGCGCCAGCGGCAUAGCAGGGUAGCUAUGUGCGGAAGGGAUAACCGCUGAAAGCAUCUAAGCGGGAAGCCUGCCUCAAGAUAAGUUCUCCCCUCGAAAGAGCUGAAGGACCCAGAUAGACUAUCUGGUUGAUAGGCUGGAGGUGUAAGCGUGGCGACAUGCUCAGCUGACCAGUACUAAUAGUCCGAGCGGCUUAUUUUU
rnacentral:rRNA from 1 species